rnacentral:rRNA from 1 species
UUGGGUGGCUAUGGCGAAGGGGUUCCACCUGUUCCCAUCCCGAACACAGAAGUUAAGCCCUUCAGCGCCGAUGGUCCUGCGUACAGUGGGAGAGUAGGCCGCCGCCUUCC